GAAGAGGUGGUCAGGAAGUAGGUGCUUCCUGCUGGGCAGCUAGCUCCUCCGCUUCUGUCCGCUCCGCGGUGGGAAGCGCCUUCCCCACAGGACAUCAAUGCAAACCUGAAUAAGAAAAACAAUUUCUUCUUCCUAAGCCAUGGCAUAUCAGUUAUACAGAAAUACCACUCUGGGAAACAGUCUCCAGGAGAGCCUUGAUGAGCUCAUACAGUCUCAACAGGUCACCCCCCAACUUGCCCUUCAAGUUCUACUUCAGUUUGAUAAAGCUAUAAAUACAGCAUUGGCACAGAGGGUCAGGAACAGAGUCAAUUUCAGGGGCUCUCUAAAUACAUACAGAUUCUGCGAUAACAUGUGGACUUUUGUAUUGAAUGAUGUUGAAUUCAGAGAGGUGACAGAACUUAUUAAAGUGGAUAAAGUGAAAAUUGUAGCCUGUGAUGGUAAAAAUACUGGCUCCAAUACUACAGAAUGAAUUGGAA